UCGGGAAUUUUGCGCAAUGGACGAAAGUCUGACGCAGCGACGCCGCGUGAGUGAAGAAGGCCUUCGGGUUGUAAAGCUCUUUCAGACGGAAAGAAACGGUUACGGCUAAUACCCGUGACUAAUGACGGUACCGUAAGAAGAAGCACCGGCUAACUACGUGCCAGCAGCCGCGGUAAUACGUAGGGUGCGAGCGUUAAUCGGAAUUACUGGGCGUAAAGCGUGCGCAGGCGGUUUGGUAAGACAGAUGUGAAAUCCCCGGGCUUAACCUGGGAACUGCAUUUGUGACUGCCAGACUAGAGUGUAGCAGAGGGGGGUAGAAUUCCACGUGUAGCAGUGAAAUGCGUAGAUAUGCGGAGGAACACCGAUGGCGAAGGCAAUCCCCUGGACCUGUACUGACGCUCAUGCACGAAAGCGUGGGGAGCAAACAGGAUUAGAUACCCUUGUAGUCCCUGAGCGGGCUGGCAAGGCGCAU
rnacentral:rRNA from 1 species